UGUGAAUUCAUAUUUAUUAAAAAAGAGAUAUGACGGAUAAAAUAAAAUGGUCAAAAGACCAAAUUGAAAAGUUGAUACAAUUGGUAGAAUCUAACGAAUGUAUUUACAAUGUAAGAUCUUCGAUGUAUUUGGAUCGAAAUGCCAAAGCUCAGGCUUUCCAAAAAAUUAUGCCAAGAUUUAGAAAUGCCGAAUUUAAAUGUUUUUGACGUAAAAAAAAUGGAAAACCGUAAGGUCGCAAUGUUUGCGAGAAAUUCGCGAACUCCGCACUUUCAAAAUAAGCGGAUCUGGAGGGAUGACAAUUUUACACCAAAUUGUGGUGCUUCUAGUAAGCGGAGAAUAAAAGUAAAAAGAUUCUAGUUCGUUGAUUUCUAUUUCCGAAUUUGAUUCAUUAAGUCGACCCACACGACUUCGGCAGAAGUUAUUAGUUCUAACCAUUAAUAGCAGCUAUA